UGUUUUGAAUACUUCUCUUUUCUCCCUGCGGUGAAGGUGCCUCGCUAAAUGGGUCAAAAAGUGGUGGAGAACUGGGUUAGCAAGAGGUGAAGGUGAAGAUCAUUAGAGGUUUUAGGGCUGGCUGUGGCUGUUUUGCUGGGUUUGUGUGACUGUGCCCAGAGGGCGGAGUUCCUGCACAUUCCUACCUCACCGGAGAACCUGCCCUCAACUCCACUGCAGCUACUCCAGAGAGAUGGGACCCUCCAGAAGAAACCUGCCCAGCAAUCCCAGCAAGCCUGCCCGCCAGCAGGGUAGGUGCACUUCAAGAAAACCUUCACUACUUCUCUCCACAGGCAGACCCAUGUGAUGUGAAUGAACAGAGAUGACAGACUUCUGUCUAAACGUACAGUUUCCCCGUGCCCCCGAUAAACAGAUCGCCCGUGCAUCUGAAGCAGAGUUUCAAAGCACCAGUUACACUAGGACUGUGUGUACCUAACGUUAGGAUUUUUUUCUUGUCUCUUCCUUAAAGUGUUCCCUCCCCCGGCCUCCCCCUCCCCCUCGGGCUCUUUCGUGGGAAUCGAUGCCGGGAGAAACUGCUUCUACCUGCAAGAAAGGCGCCGCUGGCACUUGGGGACGGGAGAGCUCCGCCGGCACCGGGUGAGUGCGGAUUUUAUUCCUCUUUUACACCCGGUAACUGUCAGGUGGCUGCACUCGUUGUUUCUGCCCGCUGGUGCCAGGAGGGGAGGGAGCGGUGUUCCCGCAGGUUCGUGAGCAUGGUGUGUCUUUUCGGUCACGGCUGAGCACAGAAAUAUUAUGGGGAGGGCUAAAAAGACUCCCCGCCACUACCUAUUUCGGAAUGAAAUUCACUGCUUGUUCGCUCUCCGUUAUAUGAGAGACGACUUCAGUGUGGCGGGUAGGUGUGCGGCAUAGGCACGUCCGAAAAAUAUUGUUGUUUUUAUCUAAAGCUGCCUUUGAGAAAACGGCACAGGUUCUGGGUGUUGUGUAAACAGCGCUGGUUUUCCUAAGCUCUCAGGAAAGCCACCACUGCCUCAAAU
rnacentral:lncRNA from 1 species